CCGCCGUCGUCGCGGCGGCGACUGAGGCCGCGAAGAGGAGAGGGGGGCGGGGGAGCUGCCGCCGCCGCCCCCCAGAGGCGCCGGAGCCCGGAAUCCCGCUCGGAGCCAGCCAGCCGUCCCGAGCUACCAGCAGGUUUCAUUGAAAACAGAUCCUGCAAAAGUUCCAGGUGCCCACACUGGAAACUUGGAGAUCCUGCUUCCCAGACCACAGCUGUGGGGAACUUGGGGUGGAGCAGAGAAGUUUCUGUAUUCAGCUGCCCAGGCAGAGGAGAAUGGGGUCUCCACAGCCUGAAGAAUGAAGACACGACAGAAUAAAGACUCGAUGUCAAUGAGGAGUGGACGGAAGAAAGAGGCCCCUGGGCCCCGGGAAGAACUGAGAUCGAGGGGCCGGGCCUCCCCUGGAGGGGUCAGCACGUCCAGCAGUGAUGGCAAAGCUGAGAAGUCCAGGCAGACAGCCAAGAAGGCCCGAGUAGAGGAAGCCUCCACCCCAAAGGUCAACAAGCAGGGUCGGAGUGAGGAGAUCUCAGAGAGUGAAAGUGAGGAGACCAAUGCACCAAAAAAGACCAAAACUGAGCAGGAACUCCCUCGGCCACAGUCUCCCUCCGAUCUGGAUAGCUUGGACGGGCGGAGCCUUAAUGAUGAUGGCAGCAGCGACCCUAGGGAUAUCGACCAGGACAACCGAAGCACGUCCCCCAGUAUCUACAGCCCUGGAAGUGUGGAGAAUGACUCCGACUCAUCUUCUGGCCUGUCCCAGGGCCCAGCCCGCCCCUACCACCCACCUCCACUCUUUCCUCCUUCCCCUCAACCGCCAGACAGCACCCCUCGACAGCCAGAGGCUAGCUUUGAACCCCAUCCUUCUGUGACACCCACUGGAUAUCAUGCUCCCAUGGAGCCCCCCACAUCUCGAAUGUUCCAGGCUCCUCCUGGGGCCCCUCCCCCUCACCCACAGCUCUAUCCUGGGGGCACUGGUGGAGUUUUGUCUGGACCCCCAAUGGGUCCCAAGGGGGGAGGGGCUGCCUCAUCAGUGGGGGGCCCUAAUGGGGGUAAGCAGCACCCCCCACCCACUACUCCCAUUUCAGUAUCAAGCUCUGGGGCUAGUGGUGCUCCCCCAACAAAGCCGCCUACCACUCCAGUGGGUGGUGGGAACCUACCUUCUGCUCCACCACCAGCCAACUUCCCCCAUGUGACACCGAACCUGCCUCCCCCACCUGCCCUGAGACCCCUCAACAAUGCAUCAGCCUCUCCCCCUGGCCUGGGGGCCCAACCACUACCUGGUCAUCUGCCCUCUCCCCACGCCAUGGGACAGGGUAUGGGUGGACUUCCUCCUGGCCCAGAGAAGGGCCCAACUCUGGCUCCUUCACCCCACUCUCUGCCUCCUGCUUCCUCUUCUGCCCCAGCGCCCCCCAUGAGGUUUCCUUAUUCAUCCUCUAGUAGUAGCUCUGCAGCUGCCUCCUCUUCCAGUUCUUCCUCCUCUUCCUCUGCCUCCCCCUUCCCAGCUUCCCAGGCAUUGCCCAGCUACCCCCACUCUUUCCCUCCCCCAACAAGCCUCUCUGUCUCCAAUCAGCCCCCCAAGUAUACUCAGCCUUCUCUCCCGUCCCAGGCUGUGUGGAGCCAGGGUCCCCCACCGCCUCCUCCCUAUGGCCGCCUCUUAGCCAACAGCAAUGCCCAUCCAGGCCCCUUCCCUCCCUCUACUGGGGCCCAGUCCACCGCCCACCCACCAGUCUCAACACAUCACCAUCACCACCAGCAACAGCAACAGCAGCAGCAGCAGCAGCAGCAGCAGCAGCAGCAGCAUCACGGAAACUCUGGGCCCCCUCCUCCUGGAGCAUUUCCCCACCCACUGGAGGGCGGUAGCUCCCACCACGCACACCCUUACGCCAUGUCUCCCUCCCUGGGGUCUCUGAGGCCCUACCCACCAGGGCCAGCACACCUGCCCCCACCUCACAGCCAGGUGUCCUACAGCCAAGCAGGCCCCAAUGGCCCUCCAGUCUCUUCCUCUUCCAACUCUUCCUCUUCCACUUCUCAAGGGUCCUACCCAUGUUCACACCCCUCCCCUUCCCAGGGCCCUCAAGGGGCGCCCUACCCUUUCCCACCGGUGCCUACGGUCACCACCUCUUCGGCUACCCUUUCCACGGUCAUUGCCACCGUGGCUUCCUCGCCAGCAGGCUACAAAACGGCCUCCCCACCUGGGCCCCCACCGUACGGAAAGAGAGCCCCGUCCCCGGGGGCCUACAAGACAGCCACCCCACCCGGAUACAAACCCGGGUCGCCUCCCUCCUUCCGAACGGGGACCCCACCGGGCUAUCGAGGAACCUCGCCACCUGCAGGCCCGGGGACCUUCAAGCCGGGCUCGCCCACCGUGGGACCUGGGCCCCUGCCACCUGCGGGGCCCUCAGGCCUGCCAUCGCUGCCACCACCACCUGCGGCCCCUGCCUCAGGGCCGCCCCUGAGCGCCACGCAGAUCAAACAGGAGCCGGCUGAGGAGUAUGAGACCCCCGAGAGCCCGGUGCCCCCAGCCCGCAGCCCCUCGCCCCCUCCCAAGGUGGUAGAUGUACCCAGCCACGCCAGUCAGUCUGCCAGGUUCAACAAACACCUGGAUCGCGGCUUCAACUCGUGCGCGCGCAGCGACCUGUACUUCGUGCCACUGGAGGGCUCCAAGCUGGCCAAGAAGCGGGCCGACCUGGUGGAGAAGGUGCGGCGCGAGGCCGAGCAGCGCGCGCGCGAAGAAAAGGAGCGCGAGCGCGAGCGGGAACGCGAGAAAGAGCGCGAGCGCGAGAAGGAGCGCGAGCUUGAACGCAGCGUGGUGAGUGCGUCACUGCCUGCGCCACCGCCUUCUUUCCCUCUUUCCUUCCUUCCCCCUGCGCUGCGCUACGCUGCGGGGCUGUGGCUGGGUGGGCGGGCGAGUCACGUCGCCACCUGUCGGAGGGGAGGUACCACUGCAGCCCAGGAAAUGGAGCCCAAAAGGUUUUCAGCGAGAGCCAUCUGCAUUCCUGGGUUGGGAAAAGGCAUGCUCAGAUGGGACUACCUGUGGAUCCCAAGAAGGGCAAAUAUUCGGGAGCGGGGGCCGCAGUUAAGUUCCAGAAGUUGGCUCAGGAGGGCCGUGCUCCGGUGGAAUGCCCAUCUCUGGGCCCAGUGCCCCAUCGCCCUCCAUUUGAACCGGGCAGUGCGGUGGCUACAGUGCCCCCCUACCUGGGUCCUGACACUCCAGCCUUGCGCACUCUCAGUGAAUAUGCCCGGCCUCAUGUCAUGUCUCCUGGCAAUCGCAACCAUCCAUUCUACGUGCCCCUGGGGGCAGUGGACCCGGGGCUCCUGGGUUACAAUGUCCCGGCCCUGUACAGCAGUGAUCCAGCUGCCCGGGAGAGGGAACGGGAAGCCCGUGAACGAGACCUCCGUGACCGCCUCAAGCCUGGCUUUGAGGUGAAGCCUAGUGAGCUGGAACCCCUACAUGGGGUCCCUGGGCCGGGCUUGGAUCCCUUUCCCCGACAUGGGGGCCUGGCUCUGCAGCCUGGCCCACCUGGCCUGCACCCUUUCCCCUUUCAUCCGAGCCUGGGGCCCCUGGAGCGAGAACGUCUAGCGCUGGCAGCUGGGCCAGCCCUGCGGCCUGACAUGUCCUAUGCUGAGCGGCUGGCAGCUGAGAGGCAGCACGCAGAAAGGGUGGCGGCCCUGGGCAAUGACCCACUGGCCCGGCUGCAGAUGCUCAAUGUGACUCCCCAUCACCACCAGCACUCCCACAUCCACUCGCACCUGCACCUGCACCAGCAAGAUGCUAUCCAUGCAGCCUCUGCCUCGGUGCACCCUCUCAUUGACCCCCUGGCCUCAGGGUCUCACCUUACCCGGAUCCCCUACCCAGCUGGAACUCUCCCUAACCCCCUGCUUCCUCACCCUCUGCACGAGAACGAAGUUCUUCGUCACCAGCUCUUUGCUGCCCCUUACCGGGACCUGCCGGCCUCCCUUUCUGCCCCGAUGUCAGCAGCUCAUCAGCUGCAGGCCAUGCACGCACAGUCAGCUGAGCUGCAGCGCUUGGCGCUGGAACAGCAGCAGUGGCUGCAUGCCCAUCACCCGCUGCACAGUGUGCCGCUGCCUGCCCAGGAGGACUACUACAGUCACCUGAAGAAGGAAAGCGACAAGCCACUGUAGAACCUGCGAUCAAGAGAGCACCAUGGCUCCUACAUUGGACCUUGGAGCACCCCCACCCCUCCCCCCACCGCGCCCUUGGCCUGCCACCCAGAGCCAAGAGGGUGCUGCUCAGUUGCAGGGCCUCCGCAGCUGGACAGAGAGUGGGGGAGGGAAGGACAGACAGAAGGCCAAGGCCCGGUGUGGUGUGCAGAGGUGGGGAGGUGGCGAGGAUGGGGACAGAAAGCGCACAGAAUCUUGGACCAGGUCUCUCUUCCUUGUCCCCCCUGCUUUUCUCCUCCCCCAUGCCCAACCCCUGUGGCCGCCGCCCCUCCCCUGCCCCGUUGGUGUGAUUAUUUCAUCUGUUAGAUGUGGCUGUUUUGCGUAGCAUCGUGUGCCACCCCUGCCCCUCCCCGAUCCCUGUGUGCGCGCCCCCUCUGCAAUGUAUGCCCCUUGCCCCUUCCCCACAUUAAUAAUUUAUAUAUAUAAAUAUCUAUAUGACGCUCUUAAAAAAACAUCCCAACCAAAACCAACCAAACAAAAACAUCCUCACAACUCCCCAGGAA